UUUUCCAUUUUAUCACUGAUUUUCUUCCCUCUACUAAUAUUAAGGGUGGCUAUGCAUAUGAGCUAGAUUAAAAUUGUCAUGAUCUGAAGAGGGAGGAUUUUUCUUUGUGUCCUCUUUCUAGAAGAAAUGGCUUAACAGAAAAAA